CUCUAUCCUAUAGCCAAUCAAUGAACUUAAAAUCUUUGUCGUACGAUAAAUGUAAUAUCAACCUUAUUGAUAAAGUUACUGGUU